rnacentral:rRNA from 1 species
CACGUAGGGCGCAAGCGUUGUCCGGAAUUAUUGGGCGUAAAGAGCUCGUAGGCGGCUUGUCACGUCGGGUGUGAAAGCCCGGGGCUUAACCCCGGGUCUGCAUUCGAUACGGGCUGGCUAGAGUGUGGUAGGGGAGAUCGGAAUUCCUGGUGUAGCGGUGAAAUGCGCAGAUAUCAGGAGGAACACCGGUGGCGAAGGCGGAUCUCUGGGCCAUUACUGACGCUGAGGAGCGAAAGCGUGGGGAGCGAACAGG